rnacentral:rRNA from 1 species
ACUACGACUCUCGACAAUGGAUAUCUUCGGCUCUCGCUUCGAUGAAGAACGUAGCGAAAUGCGAUACCUUGUGUGAAUUGCAGAAUCCCGUGAAUCAUCGAAUCUUUGAACGUAAGUUACGCCCGAGGCCUAGGCUGAGGGCACGUCUGCCUAGGUGUCGUGAAA